CCAAACGCGUUUUCUUCAACACGAAAUUCAAACAAUUCCCUCAAAAUCUCUACUCUUUCCACUCUCUAUCCCAUGUCUUCUUCUCAAAUUUCACCAUCAAAAUCCAAAUUUUGUACACAUACAAAAUUAAAAUUCUCUCUCUAAAAAAACCCACAAACCAUUUGUCCGAAAUUAAGGUUUAUUUUUGCUUUGACUUAACUCUGAUAAACUUUAUUCUCUGUUUUUCAGUCCUUUGAUCAAC
rnacentral:lncRNA from 1 species